rnacentral:rRNA from 1 species
GAUGGACGCUGGCGGCGUGCCUAAUACAUGCAAGUCGAGCGAACGGACGAGAAGCUGGCUUCUCUGAUGUUAGCGGCGGACGGGUGAGUAACACGUGGAUAACCUACCUAUAAGACUGGGAUAACUUCGGGAAACCGGAGCUAAUACCGGAUAAUAUUUUGAACCGCAUGGUUCAAAAGUGAAAGACGGUCUUGCUGUCACUUAUAGAUGGAUCCGCGCUGCAUUAGCUAGUUGGUAAGGUAACGGCUUACCAAGGCAACGAUGCAUAGCCGACCUGAGAGGGUGAUCGGCCACACUGGAACUGAGACACGGUCCAGACUCCUACGGGAGGCAGCAGUAGGGAAUCUUCCGCAAUGGGCGAAAGCCUGACGGAGCAACGCCGCGUGAGUGAUGAAGGUCUUCGGAUCGUAAAACUCUGUUAUUAGGGAAGAACAUAUGUGUAAGUAACUGUGCACAUCUUGACGGUACCUAAUCAGAAAGCCACGGCUAACUACGUGCCAGCAGCCGCGGUAAUACGUAGGUGGCAAGCGUUAUCCGGAAUUAUUGGGCGUAAAGCGCGCGUAGGCGGUUUUUUAAGUCUGAUGUGAAAGCCCACGGCUCAACCGUGGAGGGUCAUUGGAAACUGGAAAACUUGAGUGCAGAAGAGGAAAGUGGAAUUCCAUGUGUAGCGGUGAAAUGCGCAGAGAUAUGGAGGAACACCAGUGGCGAAGGCGACUUUCUGGUCUGUAACUGACGCUGAUGUGCGAAAGCGUGGGGAUCAAACAGGAUUAGAUACCCUGGUAGUCCACGCCGUAAACGAUGAGUGCUAAGUGUUAGGGGGUUUCCGCCCCUUAGUGCUGCAGCUAACGCAUUAAGCACUCCGCCUGGGGAGUACGACCGCAAGGUUGAAACUCAAAGGAAUUGACGGGGACCCGCACAAGCGGUGGAGCAUGUGGUUUAAUUCGAAGCAACGCGAAGAACCUUACCAAAUCUUGACAUCCUUUGACAACUCUAGAGAUAGAGCCUUCCCCUUCGGGGGACAAAGUGACAGGUGGUGCAUGGUUGUCGUCAGCUCGUGUCGUGAGACGUUGGGUUAAGUCCCGCAACGAGCGCAACCCUUAAGCUUAGUUGCCAUCAUUAAGUUGGGCACUCUAAGUUGACUGCCGGUGACAAACCGGAGGAAGGUGGGGAUGACGUCAAAUCAUCAUGCCCCUUAUGAUUUGGGCUACACACGUGCUACAAUGGACAAUACAAAGGGCAGCGAAACCGCGAGGUCAAGCAAAUCCCAUAAAGUUGUUCUCAGUUCGGAUUGUAGUCUGCAACUCGACUACAUGAAGCUGGAAUCGCUAGUAAUCGUAGAUCAGCAUGCUACGGUGAAUACGUUCCCGGGUCU